UAAUAGUAGUAUUCCCAGAAGCACGGAUAUUUCUAGAAGCAGGACUCUGAUCAACAGUCUCUGGAGACAUGAAAAUGCAUGAGGGCUCCUCAGGUGGCUGUGGUAAUUCACACCAAUUGAUACUUGCUCGCAUAAACAUGGGGUGGUGGUGAAGACCACUGAUUUUGGUUUCUGACUCACAGACCAGAUUCUGCCGUUUGCUACCUGCACAACCCUGGGUGGAGGACUUAAUUUUAAGCUUUAUUUUUGUCACAUGAAGAGCUAUACCUGACAGAAAUUUGAGAAUACAUACUCGAUAAGGGCCUCAAUGCACCAGUCCUCCAGUGGCCACGUUCCCUGAAAGUAUUGAGUUGCUGCUUAAAUUUUCCUCUGUAGGACCAGAAAUUAAC
rnacentral:lncRNA from 1 species